CAGGUCGCUGUGAUCUCUUCGGAGUGAACUUGAUGCUGACGAGCGGCGGACGGGUGAGUAACGCGUAGGAAUCUGCCCAGUAGUGGGGGAUAGCCCGGGGAAACUCGGAUUGAUACCGCAUACGCCCUACGGGGGAAAGCAGGGGAUCUUCGGACCUUGCGCUAUUGGAUGAGCCUGCGUUGGAUUAGCUAGUUGGUGGGGUAAAGGCCUACCAAGGCGACGAUCCAUAGCUGGUCUGAGAGGAUGAUCAGCCACACUGGAACUGAGACACGGUCCAGACUCCUACGGGAGGCAGCAGUGGGGAAUAUUGGACAAUGGGGGCAACCCUGAUCCAGCCAUGCCGCGUGUGUGAAGAAGGCCUUCGGGUUGUAAAGCACUUUCAGUAGGGAGGAAGGCUGUUUAGUUAAUACCUGAGCAGAUUGACGUUACCUACAGAAGCAGCACCGGCUAACUCCGUGCCAGCAGCCGCGAUAAUACGGAGGGUGCAAGCGUUAAUCGGAAUUACUGGGCGUAAAGCGCGCGUAGGCGGUUUGGUCAGUUGGAUGUG
rnacentral:rRNA from 1 species